GAUGAACGCUGGCGGCGUGCCUAAUACAUGCAAGUCGAGCGAACAGACGAGGAUCUUGCUCCUCUUACGUUAGCGGCGGACGGGUGAGUAACACGUGGAUAACCUACCUAUAAGACUGGGAUAACUUCGGGAAACCGGAGCUAAUACCGGAUAAUAUAUUGAACCGCAUGGUUCAAUAGUUAACGACGGUUUUGCUGUCUCUUAUAGAUGGAUCCGCGCCGCAUUAGCUAGUUGGUAAGGUAACGGCUUACCAAGGCGACGAUGCGUAGCCGACCUGAGAGGGUGAUAGGCAAAACUGGAACUGAGACACGGUCAAGAAACCAACGGGAGGCAGCAGUAGGGAAACUGCCGCAAAGGGCGAAAGCCUGACGGAGAAACGCCGCGUGAGUGAUGAAGGUCUUCGGAUCGUAAAACGCUGUUAUUAGGGAAGAAAAAAUGUGUAAGUAACUAUGAACGUAUUGACGGUACCUAAUCAGAAAGCCACGGCUAACUACGU
rnacentral:rRNA from 1 species